rnacentral:rRNA from 1 species
GAUGAACGCUAGCGGCAGGCUUAACACAUGCAAGUCGAGGGGUAUAGUUCUUCGGAAUUAGAGACCGGCGCACGGGUGCGUAACGCGUAUGCAAUCUACCUUUCACAGAGGGAUAGCCCCAGAGAAAUUUGGAUUAAUACCUCAUAGUAUAGCAGUUUCGCAUGAAACCACUAUUAAAGUCACAACGGUGAAAGAUGAGCAUGCGUCCCAUUAGCUAGUUGGUAAGGUAACGGCUUACCAAGGCAACGAUGGGUAGGGGUCCUGAGAGGGAGAUCCCCCACACUGGUACUGAGACACGGACCAGACUCCUACGGGAGGCAGCAGUGAGGAAUAUUGGACAAUGGGCGCAAGCCUGAUCCAGCCAUGCCCGCGUGCAGGAUGACGGUCCUAUGGAUUGUAAACUGCUUUUAUACAGGAAGAAACACUACUUCGUGAAGUAGCUUGACGGUACUGUAAGAAUAAGGAUCGGNUAACUCCGUGCCAGCAGCCG